UACGGAAGGGGGCUAGCGUUGCUCGGAAUUACUGGGCGUAAAGCGCACGUAGGCGGCUCUUUAAGUCGGGGGUGAAAUCCUGGAGCUCAACUCCAGAACUGCCUUCGAUACUGAAGAGCUUGAGUCCGGGAGAGGUGAGUGGAACUGCGAGUGUAGAGGUGAAAUUCGUAGAUAUUCGCAAGAACACCAGUGGCGAAGGCGGCUCACUGGCCCGGUACUGACGCUGAGGCGCGAAGGCGUGGGGAGCGAACGGG
rnacentral:rRNA from 1 species